CACUUACAGUACUGUAAGUCGCUCUGGAUACGAGCAUCUGCUAAAUGACUAAGA
rfam:Salmo salar isolate Sally breed double haploid chromosome ssa22, whole genome shotgun sequence.